CUAAAGCUUAAGUUGCCAAAGGUAAGUGCAAGCCGGCCACCCUGCAAAUAAGAGGUUGAGAGAUGGCUGGCUGUGGCUUAAACAAAUUCAAGAUGUUUAUGCAAAGUUCUUCCUUUAAAGUGUGGUUUUGAAUAUAUGGUGUCACCAUUGUGAUUAAUUUGUGAUCAUAUGUUUUGCUCACAAAUAGAUAGAUGGCAUUGAUGUUUAUGUGCUUGUAAAAUUCGGAAGGGAGAAGAGAAGAGCAAAGGGGGAGAAUGCUGAGCCAUUGUGGUUUAUGAGGGAAAAUUGUUGCUGCCUCAGUGCAACAUAGUUGCCACACUCACAGCAUGUGGCCAUUUGGCAGGCUCCAUGACUCAGUGCAGGGAUGAUUAAGUGCUUUAUUUGUGUAUUGAAGCUUUCAGCUUAGGAUAGUUAUGGAGCCAGGGAAUGCAUGUGAUCUGUAUAAUCCAAGCUGUUCGGUCAUUAUAAGGAUGAUUACUUACUGAUUAUAAGUUGAACAUUUAUCUGAUUUUGACAGCAGCCUGUGAUUCUAGAAGCCAACAUUUCAUUUAUGACCAUUGGUUGUUUACAACCCUGAAAUGGAUGCUGAAAAAGUGGUGCAUACCGGAGGUUGUCAUUGUAAGAGUGUAAGGUGGAAAGUGGUUGCUCCUUCAAGUGUUGUGGCAUGGGACUGCAACUGCUCAACCUGCUACAUGAGAGCCAAUACUCACUUCAUUGUACCUGCUGACAAUUUUGAGCUUCUGGGAGAUUCUGAGAAGUUUCUUACAACUUACACCUUUGCCACUCACACUGCAAAACACACAUUCUGUAAAAUCUGUGGCAUAACCUCAUUCUAUCACCCACGCUCAAACCCAGAUGGGGUUGCAGUUACAUUUAGGUGUGUUGACCCGGGAACCUUGACACACGUUGAAAUCAGGCAUUUUGACGGGAAGAAUUGGGACAGCGCAUAUAAUCAGACAGGCAUCUCUUCAUUUUCAAAGGUGCAGAAGUAACUCUUGUAACAUUAAGGGGCAAAAAAUAGUGAUCACGAGUAGUUCUUCAUGAGGUUUUCAUUCUCUAGAUACAUUUGGUGUUGCUACUGCAAAUGCUCUGAAAACUGAUAAAUUUGACAUAAUACAAUGAGAAAAAAUGUUCACAGCCAAAGUGUUUACUUGAUU